rnacentral:rRNA from 1 species
GACGUAGGGCGCGAGCGUUGUCCGGAUUUAUUGGGCGUAAAGAGCUCGUAGGCGGCUUGUCGCGUCGAAUGUGAAAACUCGGGGCUCAACUCCGAGCUUGCAUUCGAUACGGGCAGGCUAGAGUUCGGUAGGGGAGACUGGAAUUCCUGGUGUAGCGGUGAAAUGCGCAGAUAUCAGGAGGAACACCGGUGGCGAAGGCGGGUCUCUGGGCCGAUACUGACGCUGAGGAGCGAAAGCGUGGAGAGCGAACAGG